UACGGAGGGUGCAAGCGUUAAUCGGAAUUACUGGGCGUAAAGCGCACGCAGGUGGCUGAGUCAGUCGAUUGUGAAAGCCCUGGGCUUAACCUGGGAAUUGCAGUCGAUACUACUCGGCUCGAGUAUGGGAGAGGGCAGUGGAAUUCCCGGUGUAGCGGUGAAAUGCGUGGAUAUCAGGAGGAACACCCGAGGCGAAGGCGGCUCUCUGGGUCGGACCUGACGCUGAGGCGCGAAAGCGUGGGGAGCGAACGGG
rnacentral:rRNA from 1 species